UCUCCGUUGGUGAACCAGCGGAGGGAUCAUUACCGAGUUUACAACUCCCAAACCCAAUGUGAACCAUACCAAACUGUUGCCUCGGCGGGGUCACGCCCCGGGUGCGUCGCAGCCCCGGAACCAGGCGCCCGCCGGAGGGACCAACCAAACUCUUUCUGUAGUCCCCUCGCGGACGUUAUUUUCACAGCUUUGAGCAAAAAUUCAAAAUGAAUCAAAACUUUCAACAACGGAUCUCUUGGUUCUG
rnacentral:misc_RNA from 1 species